rnacentral:tRNA from 1 species
GCCUGGGUGGCUCAGUCGGUGGAGCAUCUGACUUCGGCUCAGGUCAUGAUCUCUCAGUUCGUGGGUUUGAGCCCUGCAUUGGGCU